rnacentral:lncRNA from 1 species
UUUUUAUAUAGAAAAGUGAAAUAAACAGGACUGUUAUUGACCAUAGCACAUAGUCCAAUCACAACCUGCAAAGUUCAGAGACCAAAACAGUUGUGAAAUGAAAGAAAGAUACAACACUGGAUGCCCCCUACCCCUUCACGUGCACACAGAAAAAAACUGAAAGAAAGAAGAUUAGAAGAGGACUAAUUCGAUUAUCACAACAUAAGUCAAUUUACCACAUGAUUAUCUUACAAUCUUAAAAUUUGAUAUGGCUUCGGCCGUAGCCUUCAAAAUCCACUGUAUAGCAACCUAAUUUUGACAGGUAUGGAAUAGUAAUAUUGAUUCUUGAAAACUGCAUUGUAAUUUGUCUUUACGGUUUUUAUUAUUUUGAACUAGGAAAUCUACUUGAAUAAACUUCACACAACUUAUGUGCAUGUUUAUAUCUUCUCUUUGUUUUUAGUAUUCAGUGAUAAAUUUGUCAUACAAAGCUUUUUGACUUUGCUGACGUUGGUCAUGUGAUUACAUAUUUUUAUAAUCCUCAGGUUCCAUGACCUUUUAUAGUACACAUAAUUAGUUAUCUGGGGAUUUUUUUUUUUUGGAUGUAAAUGCAUGUGAUCCCUGAUAGGUGUGUCUAUCUUAUUUGGUCUUCUUGUCCAGGAUGACUCUUGAUAUCUUGUAAAAUAAUGAAGUAUAUGUCCUGAUUUGGUCAAUUGGUGGUGGGGGAUCAUAGUUGAUAUUCAGCAGUUUACUGCAGAAAGUGAUGCUCGGAUGCAACUGCUCUGUUUAGGUUUUACCCAACUUUGGAAUUGAUAUUAACUCUCACAAGGAAUCUAAUUUGAAGAACGUUGUUUAUUGAAAUUUAGGUUGAAUGAUUUAAUACAUAAUCAAUCAUAUAUAUAAGGAAAAGUAAAAGGAAUUAUAAUAAAUUUCCAUUAUUAAAAGGAAAAAUAUUAAUUCCUAAACAAACUAGGAUAUAAGUUAGAUGAAAAUAUUUCCACAAUUCCUAUUCUAACUUUUCUAUUCCUACUUGGCUUUUUAUGUUCACAACCCAUUAACAAUACAAACUAUUGCAAAGAAACUACUGGGCCAUGACAGGCAGAAUCUCUGUAUCUGGUUUUUAAGUCAAAGUAUCAUUUUAUUUCUUGCCUCAGAGCUAAAGUUGUAAACCUGAAUUGAAAAAAACUGGAGUGCUGGGUGUGGUGAUUAACUCAAUCUGGUAUUCCCUAGGCGAGAUCUGCAUAACUGUUCCUGAUUCUCUCUUGCCUUGUAUUUGUAACUUAAGAGAG